rnacentral:ncRNA from 1 species
CAACCUCAACUCAUAUGGGACUACCCCCUGAAUUUAAGCAUAUUAAUUAGGGGAGGAAAAGAAACUAACAAGGAUUUUCUUAGUAGCGGCGAGCGAAAAGAAAUCAGUUCAGCACUAAGUCACUUUGUCUAUAUGGCAAAUGUGAGAUGCAGUGUACGGAACAUCAACAUUCUAGUAUGAGAAGUUAACGAUUUAAGUCCUUCUUAAAUGAGGCCAUUUACCCAUAGAGGGUGCCAGGCCCGUAUAACGUUAAUGAUUACUAGAUGGUGUUUCCAAAGAGUCGUGUUGCUUGAUAGUGCAGCACUAAGUGGGUGGUAAACUCCAUCUAAAACUAAAUAUAACCAUGAGACCGAUAGUAAACAAGUACCGU